rnacentral:lncRNA from 1 species
AAUUUAAAUAGUACAUAGUUCAGAUAAAUUAUAUAUAUUUUUACUAAAAAAAAAUAACAUAAAAACCAUAGCCCUAUUCGAUAAUAAGUACAUAUAUAAAGCGCCUGCAAUAAAAUUACUAGAAUUUGACUUUUUUUAACGCUAAUACUAAAAUACAACUCAUUCAACUUCGGAGUGGAUCUAUAUAUGUCUAGAUAUUUAAGUUAUUAAUAUACUCAUUGAGUUCAUUUGAGCGGAUUUGAAAAAUAACUACUCAUAUUCUACCUAUUUAAGAUCAGACAAGGUCUGAUAUGAAUUGAGUAUAAAGUGGGAACGAGUACCCAUAUGCUUAUCUAUGGUAUAAAAUACAAAUAUUUAUUAUAUAAUAAGUUAAAAAUAAAAAUAUAAAAUUUGCAAUACAUACGACUACCGCCCUGAACACUUAUAGAAUAAUACUAUAAGUUCAAAUACAUAUAAUAUAAUUGCAUAUAACUAGUCAUAUAGCAUACACUGUAAUUUGAGAAUACAUGCACCUACUAAAAUAUAGUUAUAUACACAUGCGCAAUAAGUAUGAAACAUUGUAGUAAGAAGAUAAGUAUCAAAAUUUUCAAACUUUUAAUAUGUUUCUCAUUGUUUUAACUUUCAACAAUCGGAUAUCGUAUCGGGUCUGGGUCAUGAUAUGAAAUUUAUUUCAGACUCUGCCCACCAAAAGGCCGGAUCCUAGUUGGCUCCAAGUCGAAUAUGGAUAUAAUGUAUUCGGAUCUAUAUCCGAAACUUCAAUUGAUGAUUUUUCCUACUCAUAAAAUAUUCAUUUUUAAUCGAAUUCGCAUCGGAUUCAAAUCAGGUACGGGAUGUUGGAUAUUUUGGACAUCUAUAUUCUUUGGUGGGACCAAGCUAAGAUUUUUGUAUGAUCAUUCCAUUUGCACGGAUGCAGAUGGAAGAAAAAAGAAAAAAGUUUUGUGGGCCUUGUUGUGGAAGAUGUAGUUCCCUAUUAGUUAUAAUUAUUUUUGGGGCGUUUUUAAUCAUAUUGAUUUGGUGCAGUUAAAAUUUACUUGACAUGAGUCUUUGCCGUGCUUAAUUUGAUUCAUCGAAGGGCACGUGUGCCUAUCAUAUUGACUUGACUAUGCUUGUCCCUGCACUAUUUUGAUUUUGCAGAUUGGUCCCUGCAAGUUUUUUUUUUUGUUUCUAAACAUUCACAUGUACGUGUUGACAUAAUUUAAUUUUUCUCAUAUUAAUAUAACCAUUUUAUAUCUUCUGAUUAGCUCCUCGCUCAUUUUAAUUUUUUAUAAUCCGUGAUAUUGAAUGCGUUCUAGAACGUAUGUUUAAAAUACCAACAUCUCAAAAAUCAUAAAUUCUAAACACCGAUUGUUCCCCACAAAUCAAAUAGUCAUGCGAAUUCUUGUCCAUUUGCGGAUAAUCAUCUAAACUUUGAAGAAAAUCAUAAAGCGUUGAA